rnacentral:rRNA from 1 species
CCUACGGGAGGCAGCAGUGAGGAAUAUUGGUCAAUGGCCGAGAGGCUGAACCAGCCAAGUCGCGUGAGGGAAGAAUGUCCUAUGGAUUGUAAACCUCUUUUGUCAGGGAGCAAAGUCAGCCACGUGUGGGUGUUGGAGAGUACCUGAAGAAAAAGCAUCGGCUAACUCCGUGCCAGCAGCCGCGGUAAUACGGAGGAUGCGAGCGUUAUCCGGAUUUAUUGGGUUUAAAGGGUGCGUAGGAGGGUUGAUAAGUUAGAGGUGAAAGGUCCGAGCGUAACUCGGGAACUGCCUCUAAUACUGUUGAUCUUGAGUGUAGAUGAGGUAGGCGGAAUGUAUGGUGUAGCGGUGAAAUGCUUAGAGAUCAGGCAGAACACCGAUUGCGAAGGCAGCUUACUAGUCUAUAACUGACGUUGAGGCACGAAAGCGUGGGGAGCAAACAGGAUUAGAUACCCCAGUAGUC